CCGUGGAGGGUGGAUGUGUUUUACGUUGUAAGUUUUCGAACGCGAUAUCGAAUAAGUUUUUGAAUUUAAUUUCUUUCGUUUGUUUUUCUUUUAUUGUGAAUAUUAGUGACCUUGACAUUAUUUACGAUGGAUUUGCGUGAAACUUUUAUGCAAGUGUGUUUUGUUUAGUAUUUGAGAUUUGAAUUGUUAGAAAAACCAAUCAACAUGACUGCGUUCUCGCUCAUUCUAUUGGCGUCUCUAUCGCUGAAUAUCCAUGCUCUCCGAGUGUACAAUACGAGGCAUGCUUCCAUUGUGGAAUCCCAUAUGCUGGAAAAUUCAAUCGGCGG